rnacentral:rRNA from 1 species
GAUGAACGCUGACAGAAUGCUUAACACAUGCAAGUCCACUUGGUGGCGGACGGGGGAGUAACGCGUAUAGAAUUUGCCUCACUGCUAGGGACAACAUUUGGAAACGAAUGCUAAUACCUAAUACUGGGAGAGAGCUUUGCGUCCAAUUAGCUAGUUGGAGAGGUAACGGCUCACCAAGGCGAUGAUGGGUAGCCGGCCUGAGAGGGUGAUCGGCCACACGGGGGCCGGGACACGGCCGUUACUCAUACGGGGGGCGGAAGUGGGGAGUAUUGGACAAUGGACCAAUGUCUGAUCCAGCAUUUCAGUGUGAAGGAAGAAGUUUUGCUGAAGGUAAAGUGCUUUCAGUAGGGACGGUACCGGCAGAAGAAGUGACGGCUAAAUACGUGCCAGCAGCCGCGGUAAUAC